AAAAAGACGACAGGUUCAGUGAAUAUGGCAGUGAUUCAGAGGAGAGUCAAGAACAAAGCAGUGCUUUGCUUACACAGACUGUGAGAAGAGAUCUGUCAAUGGCCAUUAGAGAUUUGAUAGAACAUGGACUUAUGGAGAUAGGACAGAGUACGAGCGUAGUACCGUGGGGAUGUUUUCCAUCGAGGUCAGGGCAGGUAACCAGACAGAUGCAUGCUUGGGAUUUGUUGAUAAAAUUUUAUGAAAUGAAG